UAACUGUUAAGUCUGACGAAGGUGCACUGACAUUUAGAGGUCCCCACCUGAACACCCAUUUAUAAUAACAACCUUUAAGUACAUGUCUGACAACGCCGUCCCACAAUCCUUCACUCUGCCUUCUGCAGCCGUGUGCUUCUGCGUGUCAGGAAACACCUCAGCAGUUCUCCGCCCGACCUUCAACUUUCAUCCCAAAGGAACCCUGGGUAGUUCACUGUCAGGGAGAAGAAAAAUAGACAGAGAAACCGAACCUGUCAGAUGUUUGUGGAUGUUGGAGCUUCUACAGGAGGUCAGAAGACAAACCUGCAUGCUGAACUGAGACACAAUAUGGAUUACAGAUCCAAAUGACUUGAAAAAAGUGAUGACUUGUUAAAACAGACAAAUUGUUAUUUAUUAAAAAUACAAAAAAUAAUAAGAUUCUU